rnacentral:piRNA from 1 species
AAAGGGCUGUAACCACUAAAGGCUUAUGGU